rnacentral:lncRNA from 1 species
UCAAUAUUCCGGGCUGCCGAAUCUCUACUUUGAUACCGCCUCUUCCAUGUACACCGAGGCGAUGACUUACCGGUCUACCUUCCCUCCUCCUACUUUUGGGACUUUGUAUCCCAUUGAUACUGAUUGGGAAGCCCAUCAGGCGAGGGAGCUGAACUCAUUUCAGGCCAGACAAGCUUAUAAUUCAGGUCUGAGAACUUCUGAGUUGGCCGAGAUCGAGAGGCGACGCCGGGUUGAGCAGGAUGAGGCUGCUGCAAUGGAAAGGGAAAUGCUGGAUGUGGAUGGGCUGAAUUUGAAUUUGAAUAGUCCGUUCACAAACUACUUCACUGGCCAGCCGGAUGAUGCGGUUUGAUGUUG